GACGUAGGGGGCCAGCGUUGUUCGGAAUUACUGGGUGUAAAGGGUUCGUAGGCGGUGCGGCAAGUCGGGAGUGAAAUCUCUGGGCUUAACCCAGAGGCUGCUUCCGAAACUGCUGUGCUUGAGUGUGGGAGAGGCGCGUGGAAUUGCAGGUGUAGCGGUGAAAUGCGUAGAUAUCUGCAGGAACACCCGUGGCGAAAGCGGCGCGCUGGACCACUACUGACGCUGAGGAACGAAAGCCAGGGGAGCAAACGGG
rnacentral:rRNA from 1 species